rnacentral:rRNA from 1 species
CCCUUAGAUGUUCUGGGCUGCACGCGCGCUACACUGAUGCGCUCAACGAGUUUUAACCUUGCCUGGAAAGGUUGGGUAAUCUUUUUAAAACGCAUCGUGAUGGGGAUAGAUUAUUGCAAUUAUUAAUCUUCAACGAGGAAUUCCUAGUAAGCGCGAGUCAUCAGCUCGUGCUGAUUACGUCCCUGCCCUUUGUACACACCGCCCGCCGCUCCUACCGAUUGAGUGAUCCGGUGAAUAAUUCGGACUGCGGCAUUGACCGGUUCCCGAUCGUUGCUGCGGAAAGUUUAGUGAACCUUAUCACUUAGAGGAAGGAGAAGUCGUAACA